GCAGAGGGUACAAACGUUGUUCGGAAUUACUGGGCGUAAAGCGCGUGUAGGCGGUCUCGCAAGUCGGAUGUGAAAGCCCAGGGCUCAACCCUGGAAGUGCACUCGAUACUGCGAGGCUAGAGUCCCGGAGAGGAUGGUGGAACUCUCGGUGUAGAGGUGAAAUUCGUAGAUAUCGAGAAGAACACCGGUGGCGAAGGCGGCCAUCUGGACGGUGACUGACGCUGAGACGCGAAAGCGUGGGGAGCAAACAGG
rnacentral:rRNA from 1 species